AUGCACCACUCUUGCACUGCGAUUCCUUCGCGUCGUCCGCACUCGCGUGGCGACUGCCUGUUGCGCCCUGCUGGCC
rnacentral:sRNA from 3 species